AAACCAGGUAGCAGAACAUUCUUAAAACAUAAGAAUAGCUAAUGCUGGCAUUAGUAACAAAAGCGACGAUAGGGUUUGUAAAGUGAACACAGAAGA
rnacentral:rRNA from 1 species